UUUUAAACGGCCGCGGUACUCUGACCGUGCAAAGGUAGCAUAAAUUUGCCUUAUAAUUGAAGGCUGGAAUGAAUGGUUUGACAUGAAUAUUACUGUCUCCCUUAGGUUAUUUAGAAUUUUAUUUCUGGAUGAAAAAGUCUAGAUAUUAUUAAAAGACAAGAAGACCCUAUCGAGCUUUAGAAAAAUUAAUAGGCUUAGUGUAAAUCAAUAUAAGUAAAAGAAAGGCUAUUAAAUACAUUGGUUGGGGCAACCGAGGAGUAAUUAAAGCCUCCUUUGUAUUUGUGAAUCUCGCUUGAGUUGAUCCAAAGAUUUUGAUCAAAGGAAUUAGUUACCGUAGGGAUAACAGCAUAAUCUUUUUCAAGAGCUCAUAUCGAAAAAAAGGUUUGUGACCUCGAUGUUGGACCAGAAUGUCCUAAAGAUGCAGAAGUCUUUAAGGGUUGGU
rnacentral:rRNA from 1 species